UUAGCAGACUAAAAUACAAAAUUCAUCGCCAUCUAUGAUUCACAUUUACAACUACUGAUAUGGAACAAUAAGUCUUCGUUACGCAAGCUAGCCGCCAUUUUUUUUCGAGCACUGAUUGAAAGCGUACGUUAUCCGUAUCCGUACGGCGUAUUUUCCUUCCUCACAUUUUUCUUCAUAAAAAUGUAAUUUGUGUGGUAACCUAGCCUAUAAUUUCUACUUGGAAAUUCCAGCUGAUCAUGUGGCCUGAGCAGAACCUGAGCAUCUGUACAUUUUGCCAAGAUGUCGUCUCUUUUUCCUGUACCGGCUGUUUGUAAGAAUCACUUCAGAACAAAUCAGUCUGGGAAAGUCUGAGCUUCGUCGUUGCUGCCAAUGUACACAUGGAUUUAAUGCAGCCAGGUGUUCCUCUUGCUACCUGUACUGCUGUGUGUUUCGUCAAAUGAAGAAACAUGAACAACUGAAGUUUAUCGUGUUUGUUCGCGUUGUUGCUGUCCGCUGUGGUACGUUGUUUCAGCCUCUGCUGGUGAUAGAUCUUUCUGCAUCAAAUUCAGUUAGCCGUUCCUUGGUGCUGGACUGCUGGUGUCGUGGUACCGAAAUCGCAUCAUUAUUUUGUUAAAUUGUCAUCGUGACUGCAGUUUACCGUUAAUAAGUUAAGAAGCAACAAAAACAAAUAUGGGAUGUUUAUGUCAACAAAUAAUAAACAUGUUUUCGGGAUUGGGAAAGGAAAGUGGAGAAUGUUGGAGAGGGGGAGGAUAUUUCAAGUUUGGAUAAAAAAUCAGUUAAUCUAUAACCCUACAAAUGUUGCCCUACCAAUUAAUCUCCAAACCCCACAAACAUAUACCUUCCAAUCCUUCAAACCCCGAAAACAUACACCACUAACCCUUAAAUUUAUACCCUUAACCCUAUAAACCAAUGUUAAACCUUAACCAUGUAAUAUCUGUAAUAAAUAAAAAUAAAUAUAUUAUAUGAA